AUCUUUCAAAAAAAGAUGUUCAAAAAAUAUCUUGUAUUUCAUGAUCAAUAUCCAUUAUAAUUAGUCUACAAAUCAGAUCGAGGAAGUCAGGAAGAUAAUCUGUUCAAAAAAAAUAUUAGAGUUAGGAUUAGAGAGAGAUCUAAUGAAGAAAGAAAGAAAGAGAAAGGGAGAGAUCGAGAAUAAGAAAUACCUGUGGCUGUGAAGUGUAAACGGGCGAGGCUAUGAUUCCUGACUUUCUGUGAACGUUGUGAGGGUGAGGGAUGAAAACCCUAAAAAAAAAAGAUAAACCCUACCUGAAAUAGUUG
rnacentral:lncRNA from 1 species